rnacentral:rRNA from 1 species
UACGAAGGGGGCUAGCGUUGUUCGGAAUUACUGGGCGUAAAGGGCGCGUAGGCGGCUUUGCACGUCAGGAGUGAAAUCCCCAGGCUUAACCUGGGAAUUGCUUUUGAGACUGUGAAGCUUGAGUACAGGAGAGGUGAGUGGAAUUCCCAGUGUAGAGGUAAAAUUCGUAGAUAUUGGGAGGAACACCAGUGGCGAAGGCGGCUCACUGGCCUGUAACUGACGCUGAGGCGCGAAAGCGUGGGGAGCAAACAGG